GACACUAUAGCUUAGUGGUUGAGCAUACGAUUGCAAUAUCCAGUCGGAUGUUAUCGUGAGGUCCCGUGUUCGAACCACGGUAGUGUCU